UUCAUGGAAGGUCCACUAGUGAGAAGAAGAAAUUUCUUUUUUUUAUAGCAGUGACUAAAAGAGCUGAAGAACAGGCCAUGAUGAAGAUAAUUGAGUAGAAAGAUACAAACUUUGCAAUGAGCUUUGCUGUAUCUUUGUGCCUUUCCUGAGGCAGAGGCAGGGGCCCUGGGUGGUGUUCUAUCGGCUUAGGGCAAAAGAGAUUUCCACGACGCAAAUGAAUCAUCAGACUUUUGAGACAUAUUGAGAGAACGCUUUUAAUCAAUAGUGGAUUUCAAACAGGUGAAGUCUGCGACCACAUUAGGUCCUAAGGACUGGAUGUCUAGAGGCAGAGUCAUUACUGAGACUUCCUAAGGAAGCAUCAAAGUCACCAUGGCAUUAUAUCUCCUUGACAGAGUCAAGCCAGCAAGGAAAUACUGUGACCCUCAUAUAUAAUCGUGCAGGCCUUUCUGAACCUGGACUCUGCAUAAUAAUAGAGACUCCAGGGUAAUCUAAACCCAGGGCGAUCAUCCAAGUCACCUUGCCAGCCAAGCUUGAGAAAGAGCUGUCCAGAAAUAGCAGGAUGGCAGCCCCGCAGCUGGCAUGAGCAGGUCUGUGUGAUGGCCGAGGGGGGGAGACGUCCUUCCCUCCCUAACCCUUGUUCGUGGAACCAUAAAGGUCACAGAGAAAACAGGCUGGGACCCUUUCCUCCUGUUCCUAUAAUGGUAUUAGCAACGACUCUUUCUUACUCAAUCGCACUCCCAAAGGAUUUUCAAUAAACUUUUUAUGUGCCAUAACUGUUACAUUAAAUAAAGCUGAAAGUAUUGAGUAAACCGACUGUAAAUCACUUUAGAUGCCUUGGAAUUACAUUAAGUGUGAGAAUUAUGGAUCUUUUGCUGCUUGCAGAAACAGAGAAACGACAGAGCCAGGGAUUUUUAUGCUGCCAGCCUUUUGAAGAUUUUUUUAAUUAUUUCUUUAUGCUCCACGACAGCCAUCUCUCGUA